CAUAUUCGAAUGGAUGGCUGAAGAGACGCCGCUGCUCGUCUCGCCAUGGACCUCUCGCCGAUACUAAACACCCUUCGCUGCCGAAUCGUCUACGCCCGCUACAGUGCGACGAGCUCGUGCUCCAGGAAAGAUCCUCCGUCGCCUUCCUUAGGGUUUCGAGCUCGAUUCUUCUCCUCUGUUCUUCAGACCUUUAAUGAUCUCUCAUCAGGUAAUCGAUCGUUGGCUUAUUAGGUUGCCUCGCGGGGGAUCGCCUACCGGGAGGAAUGGCCCUUCGCAAUCCAUCUGCUGGGCGAACGAUCUGUAACCCGGCUUGUUUUGUUUUCCAAGAACGGCGCGAAGUUUUUGUGGAAGUCGAUGCCCCGAGAGAUGAAGGAGAGCAGACCGGAGCUCGUCGCCGCUUGGAAGAUCGGACAGUGCCUCUAGACUCGGGAUUAUGCCGGGGUUUAUGAUGCAAUCCAUGGCUUCGAGUGGAGCCCCGAAAUCGCUGGCUUGGUCAUCGCCUUCUCAGCUCGUCGCCGCUUGGAAGAUCGGACAGUGCCUCUAGACACGGGAUUAUGCCGGGGUUUAUGAUGCAAUCCAUGGCUUUGAGUGGAGCCCCGAAAUCGCUGGCUUGGUAAUCGCCUUCUCAGGUAGCAUCUCCAAAUAGAUUGCCGUUUCUUUAGAUUGGCUAGAUGAAUUCAUGUGAACAUGCAUUUCUAUUACUCCAUCUAAGCUAUAUAGCUCUUGAUUCACACAUAAUCUAGUGGAGUUGUGGAACUCCAAUAUUCUCUCACUCAAUUAGUCUUUUCCAUUUUGAUGCUUCUAAAGGUAUGUUGUUUAAGCGCAUUGCAAGUAUAACACUGUUUCUUGGAUUUUAACAUAGA